rnacentral:rRNA from 1 species
UCGAGGAUCUUCGUCAAUGGGCGAAAGCCUGAACGAGCGACGCCGCGUGCGCGAUGAAGGCCUUCGGGUUGUAAAGCGCGAAAGUGGAGAGAAAGGGCAACUUGAUCAAUCCACAGUAAGGACGGGCUAAGUUCGUGCCAGCAGCCGCGGUAAGACGAACUGUCCUAACGUUGUUCGGAAUCACUGGGCUUAAAGGGCGCGUAGGCGGUCCAACAAGUCAGGGGUGAAAUCCUGCAGCUCAACUGUAGAAGUGCCUCUGAUACUGUUGGUCUCGAGGGAGAUAGGGGUGUGCGGAACUUCCAGUGGAGCGGUGAAAUGCGUUGAUAUUGGAAGGAACGCCGGUGGCGAAAGCGGCGCACUGGAUCUCUUCUGACGCUGAGGCGCGAAAGCUAGGGGAGCAAACGGGAUUAGAUACCCCUGUAGUCC